ACACCAGAUCGAGAUAAUCUCCAUCAUCAGAAGGGUUGGGCUUUGAGAUACACAAACUAUAUUCAUACUUGUUGCUGAGGCAUGUGGGCAGGGGCAGAAGAGAGAGAUAUUAAUGCAAGACUGCAGAGAGAGAGAGGAGGCAGAAGCAAACAGCAGAAGCAAACAGAAGAAGCAGACAGGACGAUAUAACCAAUAGAGUUUCUUAACUGCAUGGUGGUGUUUGUCUACUCUGUCGUAUCGGGAGAUGUCGGAAGGUCGUAAAGGUGACAAUAACUAUGGUGGUCCAAGACACUUCUAAGCCAGGUGGGAUUCAGAGCCAGAGAAGACAAGUGGACUGGAGGCGGGAGCUCAAGCUCUCAGAGCCAAGAGGAGACAGAUUCAUUUCAUCUUCAUCAGCCUCAUGGUGGCUGGCCUGGAUUCCUGCACUUCUCCACUGAAACCAAGACUCUGGAAGGCCUCUAAUAAAGCUAGUCUGGGCCCCAGGCAAGGAGACAAGAUUGUGAAGGAGAUAAUAAAGGAUUUGGACUUUAAUACCUGGCUAUUAAUUUGUGAUAAUUAAUUUGCUGAAAGGAAGGCUGCCCCAAAGACCUCCAGAAAACCAACCAAGAACACGACAAAUACUGAUCUUGAAAUGGAAAAGCACCCCAAAAUGGGACUGUGAGAAACAUAAUCUUGAAUCUUUGUAGUUAGAAGUUUAUUACUAGUUCUUCACACCCUAAUGCAGAUGAUAUUUUUACACCCCCAGAUGUGCUGUCCUGAAAAACUUAAGACCUUGACAACUUGAUAAACUUAAAGAAAUACUGUCUUACUGCUGUCUGGGAAUGAUACCCUUAGAGUGAUAACUUUUGCCUUCUGUUUAGAAUAGAAAUUCCUUUUAUUAUGACAAAUGUAUCAAGAAACAUUUUGAUGUCUUUCUCUUCUUUCUAUAAAUAUGUGCUGCUGAGAUCACUCAUUACUGACCUCUCCUGUCUUGGUAUUGGGGGAUCAGUCCUGGCCAGUAAUAAAUGCUCUUAAAACUUCA